UGUGCAGGAUGAGUGUGAACGGCAUAGAACUAAUCAUUGUGAUACUUGCCACCUGAACUUGUUUCGUGCUACAUCAAUUUGAGAAAAAUGGCCAGUUGAGUUAGGCCUGAUGGCUUAUGGUUUUCUCAACAAUCAUUUUUCACAUAUUU